rnacentral:misc_RNA from 2 species
AAGGAUCAUUACCGAGUGCGGGCCCUCUGGGUCCAACCUCCCAUCCGUGUCUAUCUGUACCCUGUUGCUUCGGCGUGGCCACGGCCCGCCGGAGACUAACAUUUGAACGCUGUCUGAAGUUUGCAGUCUGAGUUUUUAGUUAAACAAUCGUUAAAACUUUCAACAACGGAUCUCUUGGUUCCGGCAUCGAUGAAGAACGCAGCGAAAUGCGAUAAUUAAUGUGAAUUGCAGAAUUCAGUGAAUCAUCGAGUCUUUGAACGCACAUUGCGCCCCCUGGUAUUCCGGGGGGCAUGCCUGUCCGAGCGUCAUUGCUGCCCUCAAGCACGGCUUGUGUGUUGGGCUUCCGUCCCUGGCAACGGGGACGGGCCCAAAAGGCAGUGGCGGCACCAUGUCUGGUCCUCGAGCGUAUGGGGCUUUGUCACCCGCUCCCGUAGGUCCAGCUGGCAGCUAGCCUCGCAACCAAUCUUUUUAACCAGGUUGACCUCGGAUCAGGUAGGGAUACCCGCUGAACUUAA